GUGCUCUUCCAACGAUCGCAUUCCCCAGUGGCAUCCUCGGAGGUCCGCUGGAGCUGCUCCACCCAACCAACAAUGGCGGGGCAGGCUGUCAAGGCUUUUCCUUCCAUCUUAGUUCUGACGCUGCAUCUCUUCUUCCUCGCACGCUCUUCCUUCGCAGAGAUCAUCUUUGAAGAGCGGUUCGAAGAUGGGUGGAAGGGCCGCUGGGUCGUGUCCGACUGGAAAAGGGCUGAAGGGAAGGCGGGUUCGUUCAAGCACACCGCUGGGAAGUGGUCCGGUGAUCCAGACGAUAAGGGUAUCCAGACAUCCUUGGAUGCCAAACACACUGCCGUAUCUGCGAAGAUACCGGAGUUCAGCAACAAGAACCGGACUUUGGUCCUCCAGUACUCUAUAAAGUUUGAGCAGGACAUUGAAUGUGGUGGUGGUUACAUAAAGCUUCUCUCAGGAUAUGUCAAUCAGAAGAAGUUUGGUGGGGACACACCUUACAGUGUGAUGUUCGGACCAGAUCUCUGUGGGACCCAGACCAAGAAACUCCAUGUCAUUCUCUCAUACCAAGGACAGAACUACCCGAUAAAGAAGGAUUUGCAGUGUGAGACUGACAAGUUGACCCAUUUUUAUACAUUUAUACUUAGACCAGAUGCUUCUUAUAGCAUUCUGGUUGAUAAUAGAGAGAGGGACUCAGGGAGCAUGUAUACUGAUUGGGAUAUCCUUCCUCCGAGGAAAAUUAAAGACGUCAAAGCAAAGAAGCCUGCUGAUUGGGAUGACAGAGAGUAUAUUGAUGAUCCUAAUGAUGUCAAACCCAAGGGAUACGAUUCAAUUCCAGCUGAGAUUCCUGAUCCAAAAUCUAAAGAGCCCGACAAUUGGGACGAGGAAGAAGAUGGCAUUUGGAAACCUCCGAAAGUACCAAACCCAGCAUACAAAGGACCAUGGAAACGAAAGAAAAUUAAGAACCCGAACUACAAGGGUAAAUGGAAAACCCCUUGGAUCGAUAAUCCUGAAUUUGAAGAUGACCCUGAUCUUUAUGUGCUGAAGCCAAUUAAGUAUGUAGGCAUUGAGGUUUGGCAGGUCAAGGCAGGUUCGGUCUUUGACAACAUUUUGAUUUGUGAUGAUCCUGCCUAUGCAAAACAAGUGGUGGAAGAAGUAUUUGCCAAUCGGGAGGUUGAGAAGGAGGCAUUUGAGGAAGCUGAAAAAAUCAGAAAAGCACGGGAGGAAGAGGAAGCUCAAAGAGCAAGAGAGGAAGGCGAAAGGAGACGUCGGGAGAGGGGUCAUGAUCGACGUUACCGGGAUAGAUACAGAGACAAGUAUAGAAGGGUUAGUAUAUCUCGUGCUCUGAGAUUUUAUACAGUUUCUGGUUUUAGUGUGUCAGAGCCAUAGUUUCUUACAAGUCCCUCUCAUUGAGCUCAUUACUAGACCAAGUAUGCAAGUAUGGAUAAAAUAGGAGAGACUGCUGAUAAGAUCAUUCACAACCUCACAAACAUGAUCAUGACUUGUCAUGCUAGCAUGAUUUCUUGGGCAUUUUUAUCCGUACGAAUGUGACUGAACAUAGUGCAUACUGAUAUGGAACGUUUUUGUUGCAGCAUGAUCGCCACGACUUCGAUGAUUAUCAUGAUGAGCUUUGAUAGAGCCAUAAGCCUCAGCUCUUUGUUGGCAUGUUCUCUGAGGAUCGGUACGACUCGACUCCCCAUCCUAUGUAGUUUUGCGUCACGCUCAAUGUUGUAAAAGCAUGUAAUUUCCAGAAUGUCAUAUUCGGGGACAUUUCCGUGACAUGACAUUGUACUUGUAUUCCUAUUGAAAUUUUAUGGAGACAAGAACUCUAGGUCUUCAAUCUUUUGAUUACAUGUAUCAGAACUCGAAGCUCCAUAGAGUAUUUCUUUUGCGUCUUGUAACAGAAGUUGACAGUCUGCUUUAGAAACUCUCAUCAUAUGCAAUCAUCGACGAGAUAAUGCGAAAGAGACAGCAA